rnacentral:rRNA from 1 species
CCUACGGGAUGCACCAGUGGGGAAUAUUGCACAAUGGGCGCAAGCCUGAUGCAGCCAUGCCGCGUGUAUGAAGAAGGCCUUCGGGUUGUAAAGUACUUUCAGCGAGGAGGAAGGCAUCAAGGUUAAUAACCUUGGUGAUUGACGUUACUCGCAGAAGAAGCACCGGCUGACUCCGUGCCAGCAGCCGCGGUAAUACGGAGGGUGCAAGCGUUAAUCGGAAUUACUGGGCGUAAAGCGUACGCAGGCGGUCUGUCAAGUCGGAUGUGAAAUCCCCGGGCUCAACCUGGGAACUGCAUUCGAAACUGGCAGGCUAGAGUCUUGUAGAGGGGGGUAGAAUUUCAGGUGUAGCGGUGAAAUGCGUAGAGAUCUGAAGGAAUACCAGUGGCGAAGGCGGCCCCCUGGACAAAGACUGACGCUCAGAUGCGAAAGCGUGGGGAGCAAACAGGAUUAGAUACCCCGGUAGUC